GGAGAGGCACUUUUAAGGGAAAAAGAUAUGAACAAAACCGAGCAAUACACCUCUCUCUCUAAUAGCUCCCGCCUCCUCCGCAGCCACCGCAUCCUCCAUGGCCACCGCCUCCUCCAUGGCCACCACCACCGCCACCGUCUCCGCCUCCUCCAUGGCCACCGCCACUGCCGCCUCCACCAUCGCUGUUUCCAAUACCAUCACCAGCACCACUAGCAACAAUUUCAUAAAUAGGAAUAGCCUGAUAGAUUCCAUGGCUGCUAGAACCACUACCACCAACAUAGUCUCAGCUACCGCCGCUACUUCUGGCAUCGCUCUUUUUUGAGGCAUUUUCUUUUCGAUUGCCAUUUUUCGAGCCUUCUGCACAUGCAAAGAUAGCAAUGCACAUAAUGGAAAGGAUUACUGCCGCCAUGAAAAUACUGAAAGAGCCUCCAGAGAAGCAAUGGUCGAGUCCUUCUAAGAGCCCAGCCAUCUCUCUAUGGAUGAUGCUUGAUGAACCACUAUCCUAUUGGUGAUCUCUCUAUGGAUGAAAUUCAACUCACAUGUAGCACCUACC
rnacentral:lncRNA from 1 species